UUCUAUGCCCCUCCCCCCAUUCUAUACAGUAAAGUGGAAUCCAACUGAUGCCUAGAUGCCUCAGGAUCCUCACAGGGUUAAUGCCUCUUCUCACUGAAGAUCUGGAGUCUUCGUGAAACAGAACACAACUGGAGACUUCAGUACUUCAGGAAGACAUCAGAGUGGUAACCGGAAACACACACAGGAAACACAUCACACCACCCAGGUAUCCCCCAAAAUGGCACCAGUGAAGACACAAGCUUACGAGGCACAAUUCAAGCUACAGGCUAUCAAUUACGCGGUUGUAAAUGGGAAUAGAGCAGCUGUGAAAGAAUUCAACAUCA